rnacentral:rRNA from 1 species
ACAGUGGACGCGAGCAUCUGUGGCCAAGUUUUUAAGGGCGCACGGUGGAUGCCUUGGCACCAGGAACCGAUGAAGGACGUGGGAGGCCACGAUAGUCCCCGGGGAGUCGUCAACCAGGCUUUGAUCCGGGGGUUUCCGAAUGGGGAAACCCGGCAGUCGUCAUGGGCUGUCACCCUUGUCUGAACACAUAGGGCAAGUGGAGGGAACGCGGGGAAGUGAAACAUCUCAGUACCCGCAGGAAGAGAAAACAACCGUGAUUCCGGGAGUAGUGGCGAGCGAAACUGGAUGAGGCCAAACCGUAUACGUGUGAGACCCGGCAGGGGUUGCGUAUGCGGGGUUGUGGGAUCUCUCUUUCACAGUCUGCCGGCUGUGAGACGAGUCAGAAACCGUUGAUGUAGGCGAAGGACAUGCGAAAGGUCCGGCGUAGAGGGUAAGACCCCCGUAGUCGAAACAUCAGCGGCUCGUUUGAGAGACACCCAAGUAGCACGGGGCCCGAGAAAUCCCGUGUGAAUCUGGCGGGACCACCCGCUAAGCCUAAAUAUUCCCUGGUGACCGAUAGCGGAUAGUACCGUGAGGGAAUGGUGAAAAGUACCCCGGGAGGGGAGUGAAAUAGUACCUGAAACCGUGUGCCUACAAGCCGUGGGAGCGUCGGAUAUGUGCUUGCACAUAUCUCGUGACUGCGUGCCUUUUGAAGAAUGAGCCUGCGAGUUUGCGGUGUGUUGCGAGGUUAACCCGUGUGGGGAAGCCGUAGCGAAAGCGAGUCCGAAUAGGGCGGUAUAGUAGCGCGCUCAAGACCCGAAGCGGAGUGAUCUAGCCAUGGGCAGGUUGAAGCGGAGGUAAGACUUCGUGGAGGACCGAACCCACCAGGGUUGAAAACCUGGGGGAUGACCUGUGGUUAGGGGUGAAAGGCCAAUCAAACUCCGUGAUAGCUGGUUCUCCCCGAAAUGCAUUUAGGUGCAGCGUCGUGUGUUUCUUGCCGGAGGUAGAGCACUGGAUAGGCGAUGGGCCCUACCGGGUUACUGACCUUAGCCAAACUCCGAAUGCCGGUAAGUGAGAGCGCGGCAGUGAGACUGUGGGGGAUAAGCUCCAUGGUCGAGAGGGAAACAGCCCAGAGCAUCGACUAAGGCCCCUAAGCGUACGCUAAGUGGGAAAGGAUGUGGAGUCGCAGAGACAACCAGGAGGUUGGCUUAGAAGCAGCCACCCUUGAAAGAGUGCGUAAUAGCUCACUGGUCUAGUGAUUCCGCGCCGACAAUGUAGCGGGGCUCAAGCGUACCGCCGAAGUCGUGUCAUUGCAGCAAUACUCCCAACGGAGGCUGUGAUGGGUAGGGGAGCGUCGUGUGCCGGGUGAAGCCGCGCCGGAAGGCAGUGGUGGACGGUUCACGAGUGAGAAUGCAGGCAUGAGUAGCGAUUCACACGUGAGAAACGUGUGCGCCGAUUGACUAAGGGUUCCUGGGUCAAGCUGAUCUGCCCAGGGUAAGUCGGGACCUAAGGCGAGGCCGACAGGCGUAGUCGAUGGAUAACCGGUUGAUAUUCCGGUACCCGCUGUGAAGCGUCAAACAUCGAACCCAUUAAUGCUAAGGCCGUGAAGCCGCCCUGGAGCCUUCGGGCAAAGGGGAGUGGUGGAGCCGCCGAACCAAGGUGGUAGUAGGUGAGUGAUGGGGUGACGCAGGAAGGUAGUCCAUCCCGGGCGGUGGUUGUCCCGGGGUAAGGGUGUAGGACGUCAGGUAGGCAAAUCCGCCUGACAUGUGUCUGAGACCUGAUGCCGAGCCGAUUGUGGUGAAGUGGAUGAUCCUAUGCUGUCGAGAAAAGCCUCUAGCGAGUUUCAUGGCGGCCCGUACCCUAAACCGACUCAGGUGGUCAGGUAGAGAAUACCGAGGCGUUCGGGUGAACUAUGGUUAAGGAACUCGGCAAAAUGCCCCCGUAACUUCGGGAGAAGGGGGGCCACGUCCGGUGAUUGGAUUUACUCCAUGAGCUGGGGGUGGCCGCAGAGACCAGCGAGAAGCGACUGUUUACUAAAAACACAGGUCCGUGCGAAGCCGUAAGGCGAUGUAUACGGACUGACGCCUGCCCGGUGCUGGAACGUUAAGGGGACCGGUUAGCUCCAUUUCGGUGGGGCGAAGCUGAGAACUUAAGCGCCAGUAAACGGCGGUGGUAACUAUAACCAUCCUAAGGUAGCGAAAUUCCUUGUCGGGUAAGUUCCGACCUGCACGAAUGGCGUAACGACUUCUCGACUGUCUCAACCAUAGGCCCGGUGAAAUUGCACUACGAGUAAAGAUGCUCGUUUCGCGCAGCAGGACGGAAAGACCCCGGGACCUUUACUACAGUUUGAUAUUGGUGUUCGGUUCGGCUUGUGUAGGAUAGCUGGGAGACUGUGAACUCUGGACGCCAGUUCAGGGGGAGUCGUCGUUGAAAUACCAGUCUGGUCGUGCUGGAUGUCUAACCUGGGUCCGUGAUCCGGAUCAGGGACAGUGUCUGAUGGGUAGUUUAACUGGGGCGGUUGCCUCCUAAAGAGUAACGGAGGCGCCCAAAGGUUCCCUCAGCCUGGUUGGCAAUCAGGUGUUGAGUGUAAGUGCACAAGGGAGCUUGACUGUGAGACCGACGGGUCGAGCAGGGACGAAAGUCGGGACUAGUGAUCCGGCGGUGGCUUGUGGAAGCGCCGUCGCUCAACGGAUAAAAGGUACCCCGGGGAUAACAGGCUGAUCUUCCCCAAGAGUCCAUAUCGACGGGAUGGUUUGGCACCUCGAUGUCGGCUCGUCGCAUCCUGGGGCUGGAGUCGGUCCCAAGGGUUGGGCUGUUCGCCCAUUAAAGCGGUACGCGAGCUGGGUUUAGAACGUCGUGAGACAGUUCGGUCCCUAUCCGCUGCGCGCGCAGGAAUAUUGAGAAGGGCUGUCCCUAGUACGAGAGGACCGGGACGGACGAACCUCUGGUGUGCCAGUUGUUCUGCCAAGGGCAUGGCUGGUUGGCUACGUUCGGGAGGGAUAACCGCUGAAAGCAUCUAAGCGGGAAGCCUGCUUCGAGAUGAGUAUUCCCACCCACUUGAUGGGGUAAGGCUCCCAGUAGACGACUGGGUUGAUAGGCCGGAUCUGGAAGCACGGUAACGUGUGGAGGUGACCGGUACUAAUAGGCCGAGGGCUUGUCCUCAGUUG